rnacentral:lncRNA from 1 species
CUCAGGGCUGCUGAUGCCCUGAGCCGAAAGGUCCUUUCAUCUUCUAGGUUUUACAAAUGUCACCUCACACAGGGGGCAUGCUUGUCGUCCUUAACAAGGACAAUCAAGUCAGAGUGUCCAGAGAGAGUCUGCAGCCAUUCAGGGAUAAAGAAGCCAGCAGAUCCGUCUUCAGAGGCAUGACCCAGAAUUAUUUGGCGUGAAUUCACCAAGGACGGCCAUGAACCCCCGAUCCUCCUGCUUCCUCCUCUCAACUGUUGGUAUUACAGGUGACUCUCAGCC